UGGAGAUGGCCAGCCUUACCCUGUCUGCAUCUGCGUGGGGCACCAGGCUCCUCUGCUGCGUGGCCCUCUGUCUCCUGGAGGCAGGUUCAGUGGAUGCUGGAGUCACCCAGUCCCCAACACACCUAAUCAAACGCCGUGACGGGAAGGCCGUUCUGAUAUGCCACCCCAUGUCUGGACACGAUACUGUGUCCUGGUACCAGCAGGCUCAGGGGCAGGGCCUCCAAUUCCUCAUUCAGUAUUAUGAGAAGGAGGAGAGAGAGAGAGGAAACAUCCCUGAUCGCUUCUCAGCUCAACAGUUCAACAACUACAGCUCAGAGCUGACCAUGAACAACUUGCAGCUGGAAGACUCGGCUGUGUAUCUCUGUGCCAGCAGCUUAGACACAGCCCUGCAGGGUUAA